AUCACCACUGAAGGCAAGUUAAUGAUUAGCGGUGCAUCACCGUCAACAACCCUUCAGCAAAUCAAAUUCUAAUGACUAUGAAACAUGACACUGGAAAGGAUUACAUCUGUAAAAACAUCAUGUGAGUGUUUGAACUCAUGAAGGUUCUUAUGUAGACCUUUAGAACCCAGUGCCUCCAUUUCAGAGAGGGAUCUUCAGGAAGCUAAGAACCCUUAAAUAUCCAAGGGGUACUGUACAUUUUUUCUAGGUUUUGCCUGUGAAGACUGCAUUUGUUGGUAAAAAGAAUAAACCAUCAUGAAGACCAGAGAGCUGUCUAUGGGAGAAAAGCAAUCCUUUUUGAAGCUGAAAAAUCGAUCAGAGAUAUUGCACAAGCACUGGGCAUAGCCGAUACACCAAUUUGGAAUGUCCUGAAAAAGAAGGAAACCACUGGUGUACUAACAACCAGACAUGGAACAGGUCGG